CCUGGUUCCACUUACCACUGUAGGGAGAUAUGAUGAUUACAGUAAAGAAUCACUCCAAGCUGUAUAACCAAUACAGAGUGCUAUAGUGGUUAUAGUGCCAGUUAUGCCGUGGAGCUCCCCCAAUGGAAGUAGUCAAACUGUUUGCUAAUGAGUUGGCUUCAUUAGGCUCCAUUAUUAGGGUUCGCUGGAUGCCGCUCUCUGUCUCUAUCCUUUGGGUGUUGAGAGCCGG